rnacentral:rRNA from 1 species
GAUGAACGCUGGCGGCGUGCCUAAUACAUGCAAGUCGAGCGAACAGACGAGGAGCUUGCUCCUCUGACGUUAGCGGCGGACGGGUGAGUAACACGUGGAUAACCUACCUAUAAGACUGGGAUAACUUCGGGAAACCGGAGCUAAUACCGGAUAAUAUAUUGAACCGCAUGGUUCAAUAGUGAAAGACGGUUUUGCUGUCACUUAUAGAUGGAUCCGCGCCGCAUUAGCUAGUUGGUAAGGUAACGGCUUACCAAGGCGACGAUGCGUAGCCGACCUGAGAGGGUGAUCGGCCACACUGGAACUGAGACACGGUCCAGACUCCUACGGGAGGCAGCAGUAGGGAAUCUUCCGCAAAGGGCGAAAGCCUGACGGAGCAACGCCGCGUGAGUGAUGAAGGUCUUCGGACCGUAAAACUCUGUUAUUAGGGAAGAACAAAUGUGUAAGUAACUAUGCACGUCUUGACGGUACCUAAUCAGAAAGCCACGGCUAACUACGUG